rnacentral:lncRNA from 1 species
GAAAGAGAAAGCAUUUGCCCACCAUGGCUGCAACUACAGUUGCCCCGCCAAGAAACAGAAUGAUCACAUUCUCAACAUCUCAUAUGCGAACUCAAAAGAGAAAUUAUGAAACAUAAAGAAAAUGUUAAUCACAUUCUCAGUAUUAAAUAUUUAAAAUUAAAAGAAAAAAAAGAAAAGACUUGCUAUAAAUUGCUGCAACUAAAGUUGCCCCGCCAAGAAACGGGUGAAUCACAUACUUAGCAUUCGAAUUUUAAACUGAAAAGAGUAAGAGAGAGGAUUUGCCCACCGUGGCUGCAACAAUAGUUGCCCUCCCAAAAAUCAGAUCAAUCACAUUCUCAACAUCUCAUAUGCAAACUCAGAAGAGAAAUUAUGAAAUAUCAAGAAAAAGGUCAAUCACAUUCUCAGCUUUUGAGAUUUAAAAUUAAAUGAGAAGAGAAUGGCCUUGCUAACCAUUGCUGCAACUACACUUGGCCCGCCAUGAAACUGGUUAAUCUCAUUCUUAGCAUUCGAAUUUUAAACUAAGGAGAGAAAGAAUUUGCCCACAGUAGCUGCAACUACAGUUGCAACGUCAAGAAACAGAACGAUCACAUUCUCAACAUCUCAUAUGCGAACUCAAAAGAGAAAUUAUAAAACAUCAAGAAAAGGGUCAAUCAUAUUCUCAGCAUAUGAGAUUUAAAAUUAAAAGAAAAAGAGAAAGGACUUGCUAUACAUGGCUGCAACUACAGUUGCCCCGCCAAGAAAUGGGUCAAUCACAUUCUUAGCAUUCGAAUUUUAAACUGAAAAGAGAAAGAGAAAGGAUUUGCCCACCCUCGCUGCAACAACUAUAGUUGCCCCUCCAAGAAAUAGAUCGAUCACAUUCUCAACAUUACAUAUGCGAACUCAAAAGAGAAAUUAUGAAACAUCUAGAACAUGAUCAAUCAAAUUCUCAGCAUUUGAGAUUUAAAAUUAAAUGAGAAAGAGAAAGGACUUGCUAACCAAGGCUGCAACUACAGUUGUUCUGCCAAGAAACAGGUCAAUCACAUUCCUAACAUUUCAAAUUUUAAACAAAGAAGAGAGAAAGAAAGGAUUUGCCCACUGUGGCUGCAACUACAAUUGCCCCGCCAACAAACAGAUCAAUCACUUAUCAACUACUAUUCUGCCAAAAAAUAGGCCCUCCAUUCUAGCAUUAGAAUUUUAAAACUAAGAAGAGAGAGAAUGAUUUGCCCACGUGGCUACAACUAUAGUUGCCCGCCAAGAAACAGAUCAAAAUCACAUCUCAACAUUUUAUAUGCGAACUCAAAAGAGAAAUUAUAAAACAUCAAGAAAAUGAUCAUUAAAAUCUCAAAAUUUGAGAUUUAAAAUUAAAUGAAAUAAGAGAAAGGACUUACUAACAAAGGCUACAACUACUGUCGCCCCGCCAAAAAUCGGGUCAAUCAUAUUCUUGGCAUUUGAAUUUUAAACUAAGAAGAGAAAGAAAGGAUUUGCCCACCCUAGCAGCAACUAAAGUUUCCCGCACAACCAAAUCCAUACAUCUCAACAUCUCAUGCGAACUCAAAAGGGAAAUGAUAAAACAUCAAGAAAAGAUCAUACACAUUCUCAAAAUUGAGAUUAAAAUUAAACGAGAAAACAAAUUGGACUUUACAUAAACUACGGCUGCCACACUACAGUGGGCCCCGCCAAGAAAAUGGGUCAAUCACAUUCUGGGCAUUCAAUUUUAAACUGAGAAGAGAAAGAGAAAGGAUUUUCCUACGUAGCUGAACUAUCGUUGCCUCACCAAGAAACAGAUCGAUGACAUUCUCAACAUCACAUAUGGAACUCAAAAGAGAAAUUAUGAAGCAUCAAGAACAAGAUCAAUCAAAUUCUCAACAUUUGAGAUAUAAAAUUAAAUGAGAAAGAGAAAGGACAUGCUAACCAAGGUUGCAACUACAGUUACCCCGCCAAGAAACAAGUCAAUCACAUUCUUAGUAUUCGAAUUUUAAACUAAACAAAGAAAAAGAAUGGGCUUGCUAACCAUGGCUGCAACUACAGUUGCCCCACCAAGAAAUGGGAGAAUCACAUUCUUAGCAUUCAAAUUUUAAAUUGAGAAAGAAAGAUAAAGGAUUUGCCCACCAUGCCUGCAACUAUAGUUGCCCCGCUAAGAAACAGAUCAUCACGCUCUCAACAUCUCAUGCAUUCAUAUGCUUAAACGCAAAAGAGAAAAUCAUGACACAUCAAGAAAAGGGUCUCAUAUUCCCAGCUUUGAGAUUAAAUUAAAUGCGGAAAGAGGAUGCGUCUUGCUUAACCAUAGCUGCAAACGACACUGCCCCACCAAGAAAACGAGUCCAAUCUCAUCUUAGCAUUCGAAUUUUAAAAUGAGAAGAGGGGAAACGGAGAGAAAGACCAAAGGAUUUGUCACCGUUACUGCAAUAUGUUGUCCCGCCAAGAAUAUAUGAUCACAUUUCACAUUCAUAUGCGACUCAAAAGAGAAUUAUGAAACAUCAAGAAAAGGGUCAAUCAAUUCUCUGCCUUUGCAGAUUUAUAA